GACGAACGCUGGCGGCGUGCCUAAUACAUGCAAGUUGAGCGAUGAAGCUUGGUGCUUGCACCAAUUUGAAGAGCAGCGAACGGGUGAGUAACGCGUGGGGAAUCUGCCUUUGAGCGGGGGACAACAUUUGGAAACGAAUGCUAAUACCGCAUAACAACUUUAAACAUAAGUUUUAAGUUUGAAAGAUGCAAUUGCAUCACUCAAAGAUGAUCCCGCGUUGUAUUAGCUAGUUGGUGAGGUAAAGGCUCACCAAGGCGAUGAUACAUAGCCGACCUGAGAGGGUGAUCGGCCAAAUUGGGACUGAGACACGGCCCAAACUCCUACGGGAGGCAGCAGUAGGGAAUCUUCGGCAAUGGACGAAAGUCUGACCGAGCAACGCCGCGUGAGUGAAGAAGGUUUUCGGAUCGUAAAACUCUGUUGGUAGAGAAGAACGUUGGUGAGAGUGGAAAGCUCAUCAAGUGACGGUAACUACCCAGAAAGGGACGGCUAACUACGUG
rnacentral:rRNA from 1 species